UUUUGAUCCUGGCUCAGGAUGAACGCUGGCGGCGUGCUUAACACAUGCAAGUCGAACGAUGAAGCCCAGCUUGCUGGGUGGAUUAGUGGCGAACGGGUGAGUAACACGUGAGCAACCUGCCCCUGACUCUGGGAUAAGCGCUGGAAAACGGCGUCUAAUACUGGAUAUGUCCCGUCACCGCAUGGUGUGCGGGUGGAAAGAUUUUUCGGUUGGGGAUGGGCUCGCGGCCUAUCAGCUUGUUGGUGAGGUAAUGGCUCACCAAGGCGUCGACGGGUAGCCGGCCUGAGAGGGUGACCGGCCACACUGGGACUGAGACACGGCCCAGACUCCUACGGGAGGCAGCAGUGGGGAAUAUUGCACAAUGGGCGCAAGCCUGAUGCAGCAACGCCGCGUGAGGGAUGACGGCCUUCGGGUUGUAAACCUCUUUUAGCAGGGAAGAAGCGAGAGUGACGGUACCUGCAGAAAAAGCACCGGCUAACUACGUGCCAGCAGCCGCGGUAAUACGUAGGGUGCAAGCGUUAUCCGGAAUCAUUGGGCGUAAAGAGCUCGUAGGCGGUCUGUCGCGUCUGCUGUGAAAUCCCGAGGCUCAACCUCGGGCUUGCAGUGGGUACGGGCAGACUAGAGUGCGGUAGGGGAGAUUGGAAUUCCUGGUGUAGCGGUGGAAUGCGCAGAUAUCAGGAGGAACACCGAUGGCGAAGGCAGAUCUCUGGGCCGUAACUGACGCUGAGGAGCGAAAGGGUGGGGAGCAAACAGGCUUAGAUACCCUGGUAGUCCACCCCGUAAACGUUGGGAACUAGUUGUGGGGUCCUUU
rnacentral:rRNA from 1 species